rnacentral:rRNA from 1 species
UACGAAGGGGGCUAGCGUUGUUCGGAAUUACUGGGCGUAAAGCGCGCGCAGGCGGCUAUCCAAGUCAGUGGUGAAAGCCCGGAGCUCAACUCCGGAACUGCCAUUGAAACUGUUUAGCUUGAGUAUGAGAGAGGUGAGUGGAAUUCCCAGUGUAGAGGUGAAAUUCGUAGAUAUUGGGAGGAACACCAGUGGCGAAGGCGGCUCACUGGACCGGUACUGACGCUGAGGCGCGAAAGCGUGGGGAGCAAACGGG